CGGACGGGUGAGUAACGCGUGAGAAUCUGGCUCCAGGUCGGGGAUAACAGUUGGAAACGCCUGCUAAUUCCGGAUGUGCCGAGAGGUGAAAGAUUUAUCGCCUGGGGAUGAGCUCGCGUCUGAUUAGCUAGUUGGCGGGGUAAGGGACCACCAAGGCAUCGGUCAAUAGCUGGUCUGAGAGGAUGAUCAGCCACACUGGGACUGAGACACGGCCCAGACUUCUACGGGAGGCAGCAGUGGGGGAUUUUCCGCCAUGGGGGGAAACCUGCCGGAGCAAUUCCGCGUGAGGGAGGAAGGCUCUUGGGUCGUAAACCUCUUUUCUCAAGGAAGGAAAAAGUGACGGUACUUGAGGAAUAAACAUCGGCUAAUUCCGUGCCAGCAGCCGCGGUAAUACGGAGGAUGCAAGCGUUAUCCGGAAUGAUUGGGCGUAAAGGGUCUGCAGGUGGAACUGAAAGUCUGCUGUUAAAGAGUUUGGCUUAACCAAAUAAAAGCGGUGGAAACUACAGAACUAGAGUGCGGUAGAGGCAAAAGGAAUUCCUGGUGUAGCGGUGAAAUGCGUAGAUAUCAGGAAGAACACCGGUGGCGAAAGCGUUUUGCUAGACCGUAACUGACACUGAGGGACGAAAGCUAGGGGAGCGAAUGGGAUUAGAUACCCCAGUAGUC
rnacentral:rRNA from 1 species